rnacentral:rRNA from 1 species
AUGCAUGAACAUUGCCCUUCUGACUCGGUGGCUCUGGCAGAUUGCCAACGGAGAUGGUGGUCUGUGGUUCCAUAUCAUUCAGCAGAAAUAUCUCCGCGGCCAGCCUCUCGCCUUCUGCCAGCGGUCUGGGGCUCCCAGUUCUGGCAAUCCAUCAUUCAGCUCCUUCCUGUCCUCCAGAUCGGGACCUCGAUCGAGAUUGGGUCCGGCACCGCCACGCUGUUCUGGUUUGAUAGAUGGACUGGCGACAGCCCCGCGGCCCGCUUUCCGGACUUGUUCUCCAUCACGGCGGCCCCGCGGAUUUCCGUCGCGACCGCCCUUAUUGACUUAGGGCAACUCGUGUUCCAGAGACCUUUUGGCACGGCUGAGAACGUGGACUGGCAGGAGCUGCUUGACUGCAUUGCUCUCCACGAGCCAGAUCUCAUGACGGAAGAUGACCGCUCCAAAUGGCAACUAGAGCCUUCUGGGCAAUUCUCCACCAAAUCUCUCUACAUGACCAUCGCCUCGCUUGGCCAUGAGGCGCUCACCUCCAUCUGGGAGAUUCGCCUCCCCCUGAAAAUUAGGAUCUUAUUGUGGCAAUGGAUUCGCGGUCGCCUCCCAUCCGACGUAGAGGUCCUGAAGCGCAAUGGCCCUGGGGAUGGGCGUUGCCCGCUAUGCGGGCCUGAAGAAGAUUCAAACCAUAUCUUCUUCACCUGCGUGUCCGCGCAGUUCCUAUGGAGUUGUUUCUGCAAGUUAGUGGGUGGAAGCUGGGACCAUAACAACUCCCCCGCUCUCUUUGCCGAACUUCAGGCGAUCCCACUCGCGGCGCGCCACAUUAGGUGGCUGGCCAUUGGGGUGCUUACCUGGACGCUGUGGACUGUUAGGAAUAAACUUGUGAUUCAGCGUAUAUCUAUUCGUCAUGCUACUGACGCUUUGUUCAAAUGGUCUGGUAACUUGCAGCUUUGGCGGCCGCUUAGCCAUCCCAGGGAGAGAGACGCCAUCACCUCCAUUAUCACCCAGCUUCGCGUGAUGGCUCUCCGGAUGGCUCCACCGCUCCCCCCACCACCACUGGAACCAGAUUAG